GAGCAAGCAUAGGCGAAUAGAAAAAAUACUUGGGCACAAUCGCCAUGGCCUCAACGCAAUGCUACAAGCCAGUUGAGCAAACAUGCUACCAAGGCCAGUACUAUGAGUAUGACAGCUCAGUGGCUCACAAAACCCAUGCAACACAGCCCUCAUUGGUCAAAACCCAGACCCAAUGCACCACCAAAACCCAGGCCUACUAUGGCGAAACCCAAACCAACAAUCCAAGUCCAAACAACGACUAUGGCUAUGGCUAUGGCCACCCUCACAGCCAGAGCCACGGUAACUAUGUGGAGCAAACCAAAGCUCAUGGAUCCACCA
rnacentral:lncRNA from 1 species